rnacentral:sRNA from 1 species
CCCUAGCCCAAAUGGAAACGGCAUCCUGUUGUCCUGUCUCGUCCCAAAAGACGAGAAGGACAACAGAUAUAGUAGACAGCUGGAAAUAGC